rnacentral:rRNA from 1 species
UACGUAGGGUGCAAGCGUUAAUCGGAAUUACUGGGCGUAAAGCGUGCGCAGGCGGUUGGGCAAGACCGAUGUGAAAUCCCCGGGCUUAACCUGGGAAUGGCAUUGGUGACUGCACGGCUAGAGUGUGUCAGAGGGGGGUAGAAUUCCACGUGUAGCAGUGAAAUGCGUAGAGAUGUGGAGGAAUACCGAUGGCGAAGGCAGCCCCCUGGGAUAACACUGACGCUCAUGCACGAAAGCGUGGGGAGCAAACAGG